CUACGCAUGAAUACCCACUCCCAAACUGAAGCUAAUUUCUCCAUUUCAAGCACCGUCGUCAUCAUCGACACCUUCAUCCGGUCUCUUGCUCCCGCAAACUUUUAAGAUCUCUCUCAUGGGUUUAAAUUUUCUUCAACGAGAUUUUUAUGGGUUUAAUUUCUCAAUUAGGGUUUUAAUUUCAGUUCUGGGUUUAAUUUCAGAUCGAAUAGCUGAUGGUGAAAAUCUUUCAUUCCUUUUUUUUUUUUUUUGGUAGCUUUAACUGUACCAAUCUACUGAUUUAUCCAUAUCAUCUCUCGGGUCAUUUCUGAGUCCUAUGACGAUUGAAGGUGUUGGGUUUCUUUUGUUUCAUAUAAGGCUAACUUCUUGAAACUAGUUUAAAAUGGUUGAUAGCAACACAUCAUCUACAAAGGAAAAAGUUCCCAAGGAUAUUUCAAAACCUCUUGUCCUGCUUCUAUUCCCUAUACUCACUACUGUUCCCAUCCUUGGAGAAUGUCCUAAGGCAUACUGGGGAACUAUAGAGAAUAAUAGGUCGAGAAUGAUGUGGUUGCCCGUGCUUUCAUUUUGUGUUGGGACAAAGAGAGCUCAACCUUUGCAUGAUGGACAAGUUAAGUGACCCCAGUUAAUGAAGCUCACAAUUGGUAAUACUUUCAUAUUUCGUCUGGUGCAGGGCUUAGCAUACUGUAAAUGGUAAUUGAUGAGUAGAAGAGGGAUUGCUUCCAAGAAAUUCUGUGUCGUAAAGGUGAAAUGGCAGCAGCUCAAAAGAGAUUUGAAUUUUGUAAUUAAGAAGUGUGAAGAUGAAAAGGAAAUCCUAAGAGUUGGGUCAUCUGUGAUCACUUGGGUUCGAGAACUGAGUGUUUACUGCUGGUGUGUUUGUGUCAUGUGCAUGCACAUGCGUGGGUUUAUAUAAUUACUACAAGUAAAGAGGUGAGAGAUUGCAUUUGUGUUUGGAGUGGAAGUUGAGCAAUGGAGUCUUCACAGAGGUAUAUUUUGGGGAAUAGCUGCACCACUAUAUGCGAUUGCAAGAACGGACAGUAAGCAGUGAUGCUGACAAAUUGUCUCAAGUUUCUGUUUCAAACGCCUUUAGGCGUCGUUUGUAUGGAUCUGGAACUAGAUGUGUUUGUAACUUUGUAUGGAUCUGGAACUAGAGGUGUUCUGUGAUCAAGUGAAAUACUGCUAAAUUGCAAUUUUUGAUGUACAAAGGAACCAAUUGUUUUUAA